rnacentral:rRNA from 1 species
UACGGAGGGUGCAAGCGUUAUCCGGAAUCACUGGGUUUAAAGGGUGCGUAGGCGGCGUCAUAAGUCAGAUGUGAAAGCCCACCGCUUAACGGUGGAACUGCAUUUGAUACUGUGGUGCUUGAAUCAGGCUGAGGUCAGCGGAAUGUGUCAUGUAGCGGUGAAAUGCAUAGAUAUGACAUAGAACACCAAUUGCGAAGGCAGCUGGCUAGACCUGUAUUGACGCUGAGGUACGAAAGUGUGGGGAGCAAACAGG